AUUGAACGCUGGCGGCAGGCCUAACACAUGCAAGUCGAGCGGAGCAGCGGCCGGGUGAGUACUGCCUAGGACUCUGCCUGGUCGUGGGGGAUAACGUUCGGAAACGGGCGCUACAACCGAAUACUAUUCGAUGAGCAUAGGUCGGAUUAGCUAGUUGGUGGGGUAAAGGCAUACCAAGGCGACGAUCCGUAACUGGUCUGAGAGGAUGAUCAGUCACACUGGAACAGAGACACGGUCCAGCCUCCUACGGGAGGCAGCAGUGGGGAAUAUUGGACAAUGGGCGAAAGCCUGAUGCAGCCAUGCCGCGUGUGUGAAGAAGGUCUUCGGAUUGUAAAGCACUUUAAGUUGGGAGGCGUUACCAACAGAAUAAGCACCGGCUAACUUCGUGCCAGCAGCCGCGGUAAUAC
rnacentral:rRNA from 1 species